AACGAACGCUGGCGGCAGGCCUAACACAUGCAAGUCGAGCGCGCCCUUCGGGGUGAGCGGCGGACGGGUGAGUAACGCGUGGGAACGUGCCCUUCUCUGCGGAAUAGCCUCGGGAAACUGAGAGUAAUACCGCAUACGCCCUUUGGGGGAAAGAUUUAUGGGAGAAGGAUCGGCCCGCGUUGGAUUAGGUAGUUGGUGGGGUAAUGGCCCACCAAGCCGACGAUCCAUAGCUGGUUUGAGAGGAUGAUCAGCCACACUGGGACUGAGACACGGCCCAGACUCCUACGGGAGGCAGCAGUGGGGAAUCUUAGACAAUGGGGGCAACCCUGAUCUAGCCAUGCCGCGUGAGUGAUGAAGGCCUUAGGGUUGUAAAGCUCUUUCAGCUGGGAAGAUAAUGACGGUACCAGCAGAAGAAGCCCCGGCUAACUCCGUG
rnacentral:rRNA from 1 species